ensembl:lncRNA LINC01980 long intergenic non-protein coding RNA 1980
CCGGGAGGAGGGGGAGUAUCAGAAGGGAACGGCUGGCUGGACCCCCUUUGCAGAGGCUUCCAGAAUUGGCAGUCUUUCCUGUGCUACAGCUUUGCACAGCAGCAUUGAGGUGACAUGUAUUUUUUGGACAUUUCCAGAGGAACAAUUUACACUUGGUCUAUGGAUGCCCACUGGAUCCAAAGAGAGAAACUCUAUAGAAUUAUGAUCUAGGUUUGACUGACUCCUGGCAAGAAGCCCUACCCGCCAGCCAAUUUGGAUGAGGAACACAGAAUCACUUGUGGAAUUAAGAGAUAAGGACAGCAAGUAGACCAAACUAUAAGCUGAGGUUCAAGGUGGCAUAGGCUGGGUGCCACAGUGCUGUGUCUCAGGUCACAGGGGUCAUCCAUCUUUCCUUCUAUGUGACUGGUUUGCUCUUGCAUAUCAUGUUUUCCGCUCUUAUGCUCCAGAUCCAUCAUGAGAAGAACAUGCCCUGGAUUCCUGCUAUCCCUUUAGCCAUGGCUCCAAAAUUAACACACACAAGGAAGACCUGAGGUCAAUCCACAGCCUGGAUUCAAGUCACCUAAUACAUAGGAGAAUCAGAGCUACCCAGCCACACUCAAUCUACGUUAACUGAACCUCAGCUGACCUGCAGAUUUAUGAGUAUGAGAAUAAAGGCUUGUUAAUGUAUAUCA